rnacentral:miRNA from 1 species
UGGCUGAGUCGAAGGUUGUGC